CACCUUAUUUUUCACGACAACAAGGGCGGCGCCAUUUUGUUCAUUUUGUCAACGUUCUUCCGGCCGCAUACAUGAUGACCAGCUGAGGCAGUGGCUGAAGGCGACGUGUUAAACUUAAAAAGCUCACUCAAGUGCCUUUAUGUUUGUUUCUUACCAAUUUUAACGAACGGGAAGCCGACUGAGGAACACCCUUAUCCCAAGUAAAGGUUCGACUACGAUGUUCCGGUAAAUUUAAACCACGCUGGGUGUUGAAAAGGUGGCCAGUUUCAGAUGCAUUGAUGUGUAGUGAUGCAGUAGACAACUGUGAGGAUGAUACAAUCAACAUGUUCCUAAACUGUGAUGCAGAAACACAAUGGGAGGAUCCAUCCGUCUCUGACCACAACUACACUUUAAAAUCACAACUCAACCUGAAGCAACCUACAUCUGAUAUGGGAAAACAAUGGUGCGGUUUCCCGGACAGGGCUUAUUCUGGUACCAGGCUAAAACCAGUCUUGUUUUUUUGUAGGGUUUGUUUGUAAAAACUAAAAUGUCCUAAUAUAAUUAAAUCCUAGUCCUGUAAACCCUGUCCGAGAAACUGCUCCAAUGUGUUGAGCUGGCACAAAUGUACAGAAACAACCAUCCUUGUCAGCUUUACACAGGGUUGAUAUUGCAUCCAUUACACAGUCGCCAAGCACUUUACCAGUACAUACACCAAUAGCUUCCAGAUAAACACUUGGGAUCAGCUCCUGAUGACUCCGAUAAAGCUGCAUCUUAAUUUAUUGCAGGGUGGUCUUGCUGAAAAGUUAGCUGUUUCUUAGUCCAUAGUUAUUUUUAUAAACCUUUACAAUGUGACCUGAUUUUACCUGUUGUAAAGUUACAUUAAACCUUCAUAUGUGAUCAGAUGUCAUGCAGUGAUAUUAAACAUUUACAAUGUGAGCUGUUGUGCAUUUAUAUUAAACCUUUACAAUGUGAUCAGAUGUUACCUGCCAUGCAGUUAUAUUAAAUCUUUACAAUGUGAUAUGAUGCUAUGCAUUUAUAUUAAACCUUCACAAUGUGA